UGGGGCUAGAAAGGCAGGCUUUGGGGUUGCCAGGGAGCAGCCGGCGGUCGACUUCCGUUUCCGGCUACCGAGGCACGAGGAUCCGGGGCUCCAGCCCAGCGGGAAAAUGCGGCCUUUGACUGAAGAGGAAACCCGUGUAAUGUUUGAGAAGAUCGCCAAAUACAUCGGGGAGAAUCUUCAGCUGCUGGUCGACAGGCCUGACGGCACCUACUGUUUCAGGCUGCACAACGACCGGGUGUACUACGUGAGUGAGAAGAUCCUGAAGCUGGCCGCCAAUAUCUCCGGGGACAAGCUGGUGUCGCUGGGGACCUGCUUCGGAAAAUUCACUAAGACCCACAAGUUUCGGCUGCACAUCACAGCUCUGGAUUACCUUGCACCCUAUGCCAAGUAUAAAGUGUGGAUAAAGCCUGGAGCAGAACAGUCCUUCCUGUAUGGGAACCAUGUGUUGAAAUCUGGUCUGGGUCGAAUCACUGAAAAUACUUCUCAGUACCAGGGUGUGGUGGUAUACUCCAUGGCAGACAUCCCUUUGGAUUUUGGGGUGGCAGCAAAAUCUACACAAGACUGCAGAAAAGUAGACCCCAUGGCGAUUGUGGUAUUUCAUCAAGCAGACAUUGGAGAAUAUGUGCGGCACGAAGAGACAUUGACCUAAAAAGAAAUCAUCACAAAGACUUUACAGCUGGGCUGUAUGGAAGGGCCGCGCUUUGUUUCCUAUGUUUGUGUAGACUCCACCAUCAUGCUGAAUUUUGUCAACACUGUGACAUCUUCGGGGACUUCUUAGUUUAAUAUUCUAUCACUGACAAAUGCAGGCUGGAUUCUUAUCAUACAGAAAUGGCUCCAAAAUGGGGUUUCAGAUCUUUGUGUUUGUGACUAGUAUACUAGUUUUAUAUUUGA